CGUGAGUAACCUGCCUUGGAGUGGGGAAUAACACAUCGAAAGAUGUGCUAAUACCGCAUAAUGCAGUUGGGCCGCAUGGCUCUGGCUGCCAAAGAUUUAUCGCUCUGAGAUGGACUCGCGUCUGAUUAGCUGGUUGGCGGGGUAACGGCCCACCAAGGCGACGAUCAGUAGCCGGACUGAGAGGUUGACCGGCCACGUUGGGACUGAGACACGGCCCAGACUCCUACGGGAGGCAGCAG
rnacentral:rRNA from 1 species